AAUGAACGCUGGCGGCGCGCCUAAUACAUGCAAGUCGAGCGAGAAGACGUAGCAAUACGUUUGUAAAGCGGCGAACGGGUGAGGAAUACAUGGGUAACCUACCCUCGAGUGGGGAAUAACUAGCCGAAAGGUUAGCUAAUACCGCGUACGCUCCUUGGACUUCGGUUCAGGGAGGAAAGCGAUACCGUGGGUAUCGCGCUCUUGGUUGGGCUCAUGUCCUAUCAGCUUGUUGGUGAGGUAACGGCUCACCAAGGCUUCGACGGGUAGCUGGUCUGAGAGGACGAUCAGCCACACUGGCACUGCGACACGGGCCAGACUCCUACGGGAGGCAGCAGUAAGGAAUAAUUGC
rnacentral:rRNA from 1 species